UACGUAGGGUGCGAGCGUUGUCCGGAAUUAUUGGGCGUAAAGAGCUCGUAGGCGGUCUGUCGCGUCGGUCGUGAAAACUUGGGGCUUAACCCUGAGCUUGCGGUCGAUACGGGCAUGACUGGAGUUCGGCAGGGGAGACUGGAAUUCCUGGUGUAGCGGUGAAAUGCGCAGAUAUCAGGAAGAACACCUAUGGCGAAGGCAGCACUCUGGGACGGUACUGACGCUGAGACGCGAAAGCGUGGGGAGCGAACAGG
rnacentral:rRNA from 1 species